UACGGAGGGUGCAAGCGUUGUUCGGAAUUACUGGGCGUAAAGCGCGCGUAGGCGGUUGUAUAAGUCAGAUGUGAAAGUCCAUGGCUCAACCAUGGAAGUGCAUUUGAAACUGUAUAACUUGAGUACUGGAGGGGGUGGUGGAAUUCCCGGUGUAGAGGUGAAAUUCGUAGAUAUCGGGAGGAAUACCGGUGGCGAAGGCGACCACCUGGCCAGAUACUGACGCUGAGGUGCGAAAGCGUGGGGAGCAAACAGG
rnacentral:rRNA from 1 species